GUCCACGCCGUAAACGAUGAAUACUAGGUGUCGGGCGUCAAAACUCGGUGCCGCAGCAAACGCAUUAAGUAUUCCGCCUGGGGAGUACGCACGCAAGUGUGAAACUCAAAGGAAUUGACGGGGACCCGCACAAGCAGCGGAGCAUGUGGUUUAAUUCGAAGCAACGCGAAGAACCUUACCAGGUCUUGACAUCCCUCUGAAGUAGCCUUAGCCGGCUAUGUCCUUCGGGACAGGGGAGACAGGUGGUGCAUGGUUGUCGU
rnacentral:rRNA from 1 species